UACGAAGGGGGCGAGCGUUGUUCGGAUUUACUGGGCGUAAAGGGCGCGUAGGCGGCGGGUCAAGUCGAGUGUGAAAGCCCCGGGCUCAACCUGGGAAUUGCGCUCGAGACUGGACUGCUUGAGUUCGGGAGAGGAGCGUGGAAUUCCCAGUGUAGAGGUGAAAUUCGUAGAUAUUGGGAAGAACACCGGUGGGCGAAGGCGGCGCUCUGGACCGAGACUGACGCU
rnacentral:rRNA from 1 species